GGAGCGGGAAAUUUGGAUUCGAAUAUGGAUUUCUUCAGUGAUGACAGACCGAACUUCCGACGGAGGCAGUCGGAACAAGAGACAAUGCCUUACAGCUGGAAAUUAAGGCUAAAAAAAAUAUUCAAUAUCGGAAAAUAUACCAAAGAUCGAGGCAAAUAUCUAUAACUAGUGUUCGUCGGUUUUUUUCGACCGAAAGCCGUCGAAAAACUUAUGUUAUAUGAGAUUAUUUUGUGGACCAUAUCUCAUUUCGUGACUCUCUAUUCCUCUUCACUCCAGCGGCGGCACCUCUUUUUUAGGGCUUUUUUCUCUCUUUGAGCUAAGAUGGAACUUGAACAUCGCAGAUGGAUGUAUGAUAGAAAUUAUCCUAAUCGGUAGAAAUUGAGGGAGGAAUUUAUAGAAGGAGUUGCAUGAUUUAUUGCUAAGGCGAAAACACUUUAUGAAUUUCUCACUGAAUGGAUGAUUAGGUGCCCUUGUAUGAAAUACAAAUGUAGAAAGCUGUUGAAAAUAGAGGAUGUUAAAAGACAUCUUUAUAGGAAAGGGUUUAUGAAAAAUUAUUAUGUGUGGACUAUUCAUGGAGAAAUUGAUGUCGAUUUUCAAAAACUUUCUAGUGGUGAGAGUAGUCGAUUAGUGGAGAAGAAUUUUGAAAAUUCUCGAUUCAAUAAAAUGGUUAAGGGUGAUUUUGGGAUGUACGCAGGGGUUCAGUCCCAACCAAAUGUUCAACAUUCUCCUAAUUAUGAGGCUAAUCGCUUCUUUACAUUUAGAGGAAGCUAGUCAGCCACUCUGAAGGCUCAAUGCAUUGUAAGUAUUCUCUUGCACAUAGAUUACUAAGUAUUAAAUCGCAUUGGAAUAUUCCGCGAGCGGCCAUGGACUCUUUCGUUGGGCUCAUGAAUGAACUUAAUCAGAUAUAAAAUUGACUUACCUAAUGAUUAUUACACAACUAAGAAAGGUUUCCCAAUCGUGGAGAGGUUGGAGGGUUGGAUCAUUUUCAAAGGUUGAUUAUCGCUCCCGAUGGGACUACUAGGUAAGCAAUCCUUUUGUUAGUUGUUAAUUAUUGAAUAUAUUUUUACAUAUGUUGAAUUUGAUUGCAGAUUUUUUCCCUCCACUCUAUCUAUGAUAGCUGUUAGGGAUUCUAUUAUAGCAUCUUAUCGUGACGUUUGGAAUACCUGGAGAGAGAUACCGUACAUUGUCAGAGACCAGAUGUGGAAUUGCUUUAGGGUGUGCAUGGCAUACCCAACAUGAUCAUCAAAUAAGUAGUAAUUUCAAGAAGAAAGCUGCUGAUCUGCUUAAAGAUACCUUGUGGACUGCUCAGAGAAAGGUUCAGAAGCCCAGCUGGAUGUUCGAAGAUGUAUGUGCUAGACUUAAUGAGAAGUGGGACAGUGCGAAAUUUCAGAAGAAGAGCACCCAAGCAAAGGCAGUCCGAGCCUCCGACAAGGGUGGCUCAGUUGGUAUAGGGACCAAUCGAAGGAGAUUGGAAAAGUUAAAAGGAAGAACUAUAACUUAUGGUGAGGUCUUUGAGGAGCCACCUGCGAAAAAGAAAAAAGAUGGUACAAGAAUUCGGGGCAAGCCGCAUGCUGAGGGGACAUACGCUUGGCUGAAUGGUGUGAAAGUGAAUCGGCUUCCGAGGAUGGUAGCUCAAUCCAACCGUCACCGGAUGAUGUAGCUUCAAUAUUGAGGGAUAUGGUUGAUGGCAUAGAGAAAAGUAGAGCCUACAACCUUGGAUCACACCAUUGCUUAGGCCGUUCGGUGUCAAAAUAGUCUGGUGCUUCUUCUAGUUCGCGCAAUCAGGAAUAUAUAGAUGCAUUAUGUUGGGAAAGCACAAAGCAGACCAUUUAAAACUUUAAGGACUGGAGAAGCUAGCGCAUAACUUCAUGGACUAUUGUCAAUCUGAUCCACAGUCUAACUCUGAUGAUGAAAAUUAGUUGUUGUAGUUGUGAUGUUUGGAACAUUUUGUUUGAUUUGGUUAGGAUGUUACUUGAAUGGUGUUUGAUUGUUUAGGGUUGUAUUUGGAUCUAUAAAUUAGUAGCUGUAAGACUCAAUCUCAAGUUAUAGAUAUUUGUGUUGCCAUAUUUUUAAAUAGUGGAGGAUGCAUUUUGUUGA